UACGGAGGGUGCAAGCGUUAAUCGGAAUUACUGGGCGUAAAGCGUGCGUAGAUGGUUAUGUAAGUCGGAUGUGAAAGCCCAGGGCUCAACCUUGGAAUUGCAUUCGAGACUGCAUAGCUAGGAUGCGGAAGAGGGAAGCGGAAUUUCCGGUGUAGCGGUGAAAUGCGUAGAUAUCGGAAGGAACACCAGUGGCGAAAGCGGCUUCCUGGUCCAGCAUCGACGUUCAGGCACGAAAGCGUGGGGAGCAAACAGG
rnacentral:rRNA from 1 species